UACGUAGGUGGCAAGCGUUAUCCGGAAUUAUUGGGCGUAAAGCGCGCGCAGGCGGUUUCUUAAGUCUGAUGUGAAAGCCCACGGCUCAACCGUGGAGGGUCAUUGGAAACUGGGGAACUUGAGUGCAGAAGAGAAAAGCGAAAUUCCACGUGUAGCGGUGAAAUGCGUAGAGAUGUGGAGGAACACCAGUGGCGAAGGCGGCUUUUUGGUCUGUAACUGACGCUGAGGCGCGAAAGCGUGGGGAGCAAACAGG
rnacentral:rRNA from 1 species